UCGAGCGAAGCUUUUCAGUAGUUUACUACAGAAAAUGACUGAGCGGCGAACGGGUGAGUAACGCGUGAGCAAUCUACCUUAGUUACUGGGAUAGCCCGAGGAAACUCGGAUUAAUACCGGAUAAUCUUAUUACAUCACAUGAUAUUUUAAGUAAAGGUCAGCCGAACUAAGAUGAGCUCGCGUUCUAUCAGCUUGUUGGUGGGGUAAAAGCCUACCAAGGCUACGACGGAUAGCUGGUCUGAGAGGACGAUCAGCCACACUGGGACUGAGACACGGCCCAGACUCCUACGGGAGGCUGCAGCAGGGAAUAUUGCGCAAUGAGCGAAAGCUUGACGCAGCGACACCGCGUGUGGGAUGACGGUUCUAGGAUUGUAAACCACUUUCAGGAGGGAAGAAAAUGACGGUACCUCCACAAGAAGCCCCGGCCAACUACGUGCCAGCAGCCGCGGUAAUACGUAGGGGGCGAGCGUUGUCCGGAUUUAUUGGGCGUAAAGAGCUCGUAGGCGGUUCAACAAGUCGGUCGUGAAAGUUCAGGGCUUAACCCUGAAAUGUCGAUCGAUACUGUUGUGACUAGGAUAUGGUAGAGGUGAGUGGAAUUCCGAGUGUAGCGGUGAAAUGCGUAGAUAUUCGGAGGAACACCAAUAGCGAAGGCAGCUCACUGGACCACUAUCGACGCUGAGGAGCGAAAGCUAGGGGAGCAAACAGGAUUAGAUACCCUGGUAGUCCUAGCUGUAAACGAUGGAUACUAGAUGUAGGAAUUGGAUUGACGAUUUCUGUAUCGUAGCUAACGCGUUAAGUAUCCCGCCUGGGGAGUACGGUCGCAAGACUAAAACCCAAAGGAAUUGACGGGACCCCGCACAAGCGGCGGAGCAUGCGGCUUAAUUCGAUGAUACCCGUAGAACCUUACCUGGACUAGACAUAUAGGGAAAAGCU
rnacentral:rRNA from 1 species